CCAUACCUGCAAUUCAUUUUUAUCUUUAGAAAUGCUAUCCCCACUAAAUACAAUACCAUAGAAGCCAUUAACAUAUUGCUAAUAUGCCAAUGAAAUUCCGUCACAAGUUAAAAGUCCCACAACUAUGAGCAAUGAAAUUUAGCAUGUUAAGAGCAGCUGUCAUAUUCUAGUAGCUCUUACAUCCUCGACAAGGCCAUUCUCAAUGAUCACAUCAAUUUUAGGUACCAAUUAUAUUUACAAACUAUCAUAACAAAUAUUUUGAAGGCUUUGCAAGAGAGAUGAUCAUUCCACAUUUACUUAUUUAUUUAAGAGUUUUAUUAAGGCUAACAAAUAAAAAAAUAAUCAUGGCCUUUUCAUAUAUAAAAAAUAAGCAAAAUAGCAUAGUUGUCUGAUCUUGUGAUGCACUAGCAGUUCCAGGCUAUAGGGAAAAAAUUUUGCAAUUACCAUGAACAGAGGUCUAUCUCGC
rnacentral:misc_RNA from 1 species